UACGCAGGGUGCGAGCGUUAAUCGGAAUUACUGGGCGUAAAGCGUGCGCAGGCGGUGAGCUGUGUCCGAUGUGAAAGCCCCGGGCUUAACCUGGGAAUGGCAUUGGAAACUGGCUCGCUGGAGUGUGGCAGAGGGGGGUGGAAUUCCGCGUGUAGCAGUGAAAUGCGUAGAGAUGCGGAGGAACACCGAUGGCGAAGGCAGCCCCCUGGGCUAACACUGACGCUGAGGCACGAAAGCGUGGGGAGCAAACAGG
rnacentral:rRNA from 1 species